rnacentral:rRNA from 1 species
UCCUACGGGAGGCAGCAGUGGGGAAUAUUGGACAAUGGAGGCAACUCUGAUCCAGCAAUGCCGCGUGUGUGAUGAAGGCCCUAGGGUUGUAAAGCACUUUCGACGGUGAAGAUGAUGACGGUAACCGUAGAAGAAGCCCCGGCUAACUUCGUGCCAGCAGCCGCGGUAAUACGAAGGGGGCGAGCGUUAUUCGGAAUUAUUGGGCGUAAAGGGCUCGCAGGCUGCUUGAACAGUUAGACGUGAAAUCCCCGGGCUCAACCUGGGAACUGCGUUUAAUACUAGCAAGCUAGAGUAAUAGAGAGGAAAGUGAAACUCCCAGUGUAGAGGUGAAAUUCGUAGAUAUUGGGAAGAACACCAGUGGCGAAAGCGGCUUUCUGGCUAUUUACUGACGCUGAGGAGCGAAAGCGNGGGGAGCAAACAGGAUUAGAUACCCUGGUAGUCCACGCCGUAAACGAUGUGUGCUAGAUGUUGGAGGGAUACCUUUCAGUGUCGCAGCUAACGCACUAAGCACACCGCCUGGGAAGUACGGUCGCAAGAUUAAAACUCACAGGAAUUGACGGA